GGGUAUAGAGAUACACACUAUUCAUGAUUAUAUUUUUAUGAUCACUUGUUAUUUACUGUUCAUGUUAAGAUCAUUAUGUUAAUUUGUAACACCCCACUGAUCCCACACAAUGGAUGAUACCAAAAAAAACCUUUCUACAAAACUUAUGCAACACAUAGAGAAAGAAAGUAUUGCAAAAUCCGGCAGCACCUCCCUUGAAAGUAGCAUAACAAGGGAAGCAUAUAGUUUAUACAGGAUAUAAAAGAAAGAUAAUUGACAUAGUAUAAUCAAAAUGCAACAAUAGAAAAGAACAUUCAUGACCAGACAAAAGAUAGACAUCUCAGCCCACCAAACUAAACAGUUCAACUACCAUGAAAGAUUAGAAUGUAAUAAUUCCCUAGACUUGACUCUUCCUGUUUAACAUCAUUAUUAAUCAGUUAUUCCUUUAUUUAAAAGUGUGGUGGCCGUGCUGCUACAUCCCUUCCUUCCCAAAGCAAAGAUCAGGUGCCUGCAUCAAACAAUGCAAGAGUGAGAUGACACAUCUCAGCAAGUAAAAAAAACAAACAACAGUUGGACAAUGCAAGCCAACCGUGCAUAAGCAACCACACGGUUCCCAACUUCCUCCUUAAAUAUUAAUUUGCAGCAAGUAAGCAAGUAAUCAAUUACUCAAUGCCAAGAUGAAUUACAAAGUAAAGAUCCACCUUAUCCACAUCACCAAAAUAGGUUCCACACUUCACCCAUGAAUGCACAUGGCUACAGAUGCAACAUGACUUCUGCCUUCAUACCUCUAAGGAUAUGAAGCUGCAUCAUACCCCUUCUCGGGAAACAUAUGAUGCUCAUUGUACCGGUACGGUCGGACCAUAAGAUCGCGACGAAACUUCAAUGCAAUGGAUGAUGAAUGCAUUAUGCAUGUCAACAACAUGAGUUCUUCCCAAAUAAGAUGUGCUAGACAUAUACUUCCACCCAUUUCACAUCAAUAACCACAUGGGUAACAUGAUCAAACCACACCCUCCACAUGUAUAAUCAAUAAAGCAGGAAUAAUUUCAAACGAUGGUACCCAAUUAGGAAUAUGGAUACGAACACAAAUAGCACAAACGUAAUCAAGUAUAAGACUCUUCAAUCAAAAGACGAAAUAACCAUCACUGUUUUACUUGCCUUUACCGAAGUUCGGGCAAAAUCCCUAAGAACGAUCCGGAAGUCCACCACCUGUUUUUGACACCCAACUUAGUGCACCAAAUUCUCAUGAAAAAAAACUCAAAGACAACACCGCACCUACGCGCAAUCUCAAACCCCGCCGCGGUAACAAUUCUCCCCUCACUAACCAAACUGCAGCGGCGCUGCUUAACAAUUCCAUAACUUAAAAUUUAGGACAGCAGUGAUGAUAAACAAAAACUUCAGAGACAACUACAUAAAAUUCCCCACAAGUUUUGUAUACAACUCAUGACUGAAUUCUAACAUCUACUUACCUCUAAACGGUCCUCAAAAUAAACCCUGCAAUCUGUUUUUUUCUGAUUUGAGCAGCGACAUACGCGGAUUCAAACAGCGAUAACUUUUAAAAUAUAAUUCCGAUUUGAGCGCAUAAGUACUUGUUGGAAAGAUAAGAAAAAGCCCUACAUGAUUCUCAUACUGAUUAACACUAAUUACUCCCGAAACAUCCCCAGAAACUGCUAACACUGCUGCUGUUCAUCACUCUGAAAAAAUCUGUUUUCUGGACAGCCACAUACCCGGAUUCAAACGAUGAUAACUUUUAAUUUAUAACUCCAAAUUGAGCGCAUAAAUACUCGUUGGAAAGAUAAAACAAAGUUCUACAAGAUUCUCAUACUGAUUAACACUAAUUGCUCCCGAAAAAUCCCCAGAAACUGCUAACACUGCUGCUGUUCAUCACUCUGAAAAAUCUGUUUUCUGGACAGCCACAUACCCGGAUUCAAACGAUGAUAACUUUUAAUUUAUAACUCCAAAUUGAGCGUAUAAAUACUCGUUGGAAAGAUAAAACAAAGUUCUACAAGAUUCCCAAAUUGAUCCCCAUUAAAUCUUCACGAAAAAAACUAAAAACUGCUGGAACUACCGCUGUUCAUCCACCACGCAAAAUUCUGGACAGCCCCCCUCUAUCUAAUCGCAAACGCAACAUCUCAUCAAUUGAAUCGCAGCGCAAAUGAACAAGGGAUGAACACAAAAGAAAAAUCACCUUGGGUUCUCCCCUUUUCCUUCCUCCCUUCUUCCUUCCACCAAAACGAUUGGAGAUUCGCACCAAAAGACGAUGAUCCGAGCGACACGGAGUAGCACCUAGGGAGGAGGGGAUUGGGGGGGGGGGCGGCUAGGGUUUUGAUGGCUGCAACAAUGGAGGGAGGAGGAGGUGGGCAGGGGUGGCGGCGGCCAAGGGGAAAGGAGGAGUGGGGGGGGGCUGCACAUGGGGGGGGGUAGUUAGGAGGGUGGCGGCUAGGGUUUGGGAGGGCUAAUGGGCCGAAACACCAAUUGCGGCCCAACUAACCCACGCGACAGCUCCCGACCGCAACGCAAACGUCAAACCAAAUAAAUUCUACUGCCCUAGUUGCGAAUGUUGUUCACAAAAUUCCAAAUCCCCAAAACAACAACUGGAUGAGGGAAAAAACAAAAAGAACAACCCCCAACUUCUCUUCUUUGCAAACCGGGUAUCACAUUCUACCCCUCUUAAAAAGAAUUCGACCUCGAAUUCUGACGCUUCUAUCGGAAUGACACAAGAAAAGAUUAGCGAAUCAACAACACUUACCCACAACGAAAAGUUCCGGGUACUUCUGCCGCAUCAACUCCUCAAGUUCCCAUGUAGCCUCGCGCUCUGACUGAUUAGACCAUAAGACCUUGACAUACUUAAUUGAUCUCUUCCUCAAC
rnacentral:lncRNA from 1 species